CGGCGCUCUCCCUCUUGGCACGCCAUUAAUCUGGUGUGAUGCGGUAGAGAUUGCGGGCUUAUGGGAGCAGCGCCUUGGACGUGGAAGUGAAGGCAGCAGCACUCCAUCACAAGCAGGAAGCAGCUCAAACUCCAAACACAGGCAUCAACAAGGAGAGAUGUUUCACUCCGAGUGUGGAGAGCACAGAGGAGAUCAGAUUUCCAGAAUGUGAUCACCUUGUGUGCUCUGGAGCUGUUUAAGAACUCCAAGUGGCCAACAGAGACCAUGCCUCAAGUGACUGCCUUCUGAUAGGAUAAAGCAUUUGUCUGUUGACGACCAGCCUUAGUUCCAUCAGGCAGUGUUUUAAAAUGAGAAGGUCCUGUUCUUUUGAAUCGCAAAACAGACUGUGCAGAAAUGGAAGAGG